AUGGGGGACUCUGUGAUAUUUUCGAUCAAAUUUAUAAUUAAAAUGAAACGACUGUUGUACUUCCUACAAUAUUUUCGGUGUACAGAGCUGGACUACACGGCAUGUACACAAUCUUAACUUUCGUUUGAACAUUUAAUCGAGGGGAAAAUUCACUUUCUUUAUUCCUGAUUAGUCUAUGACUCAUCACAUUCAUUAUUACUGGUCAUAUUGCUAAGGUGAGAAAAUUGAAUUAUUUGUCCCCGCUAAUUUGAUAGCAAUACUAAAUGCUCACAAUCGUAGCUGUCACGCAUGACGCACUUUUCUUAUCACUGUUCAUAAUCUGAUUGUAUUUUCGUUUUCUGUUAACUGUUCAGAUGGAUGACAUGGGAGUUUCAUUGAAAUUGUAAAUGAGGCCUUGGACAAUUACAAACAUUCAACAGAGGGUCUGUUGCAUCCAUUAGGCGAUUAUUAUUUUUA